UACUGGCCGGCUAAUCAUCCGGUUCUACCUCGUGUUGGAGAGUCGCACUUCUUUUAAGGUGAGCAUUACGUUUCGUGGUCGGAAAACAAUAGGAAGAACGUUCACAGGCACAGCUACCGAGGUUGCCGAGACUCCGCAGGUCCGCUGCGUCCUCCGCGCCUCCGACCACCCCGCCGGCCCCGGCGCCCAGCGCCGCUCCGUCUCCGAACCCGCCUCCACGCCCGCAGCCCCGCCGGCCGCGGGAGGAGGGGGGGGACCAGCGGCCGAAGUCUUGGUCGUGUUGUUUAUGUGGUUUAGUGUUCUAGUUUGUACCUAAACUCUGGUCGGUACGCAAGAUGAGACGACGAAGACCACGAGGACGAAGGAAAAAGGCGUUUACGCAGCUCGUUUGAGAUAUAACACAUAUACCCUCUCUUCGUCGUACUACUAGGUAGGCACCAAUGGCGCAGUGUGGUACUACAUGACUGGAGACAAAAGCCUUCAUUCCUACUUCGGGACUUCAGAUAUCAUAUGUCAAUGGCCGUGCCUAAAAGGCCAAAACGUCGCUACGAUUGACUUUGUGUUCGACUCAAGGGACGUCUUAAAGGAGUUCAAGAUAGGCAUUUCGGUUUGUGAAUAGUGUUCCCCGUUUGUUGAGCCUCGACCCUAAAAGAACCAGAACUGAUGAUGGUCAGUGGUGCACCAAGACGGCCGGAGGAGGUCUUUCGUUUCAUGCCGCUUCUAUAGUAGUAACCACAGUAGCUAAGUCCAUAACUGGGGCUCCUGGAGUUCCCGCUCAUAUACAGGGGUUCCCUGAACUCACCGGUACCGUGCGUACGUCGGAGCUGGUAGCGACCUUUGGCGCACACCUUAUUGCCGUGCAGCAUGCGCGACCGUAGGUUUUAUUCUGCUCCUCCCCGUUUUUUACCACCGCGCGCUGCACGGGACCGGCGACGUACGCUGGAACGCCGUCGACGCUCGCUUGCGGUACCGACCUAAGCUCGCGAGGAGAGGUACCAGCGGCGUCGGCUUGCGCGAUCAGCGGUACCGACCGAAGGCAAAAGGAAGGUACUCUCGACGUAGGGCCCGCUGCCACCGCCACGACCUCGGCAAGUUCGCUACUCGCUGUUGGUCGUUCCGGUCUUGGGGUGACAGGCCUUUCGACGUUGUCCGGUGUGUUAUACGACCUUCGUCACAAGGGACCUCGACCUUGGUAGCAUGUAAAAACGACGUUAGUCGUCAGCGGUCCCCCACUUCUUCCGCUCUAUGCCACGAUGAUGGUUUCUCAGAAAAACGACCUUGGCCUAGGACCUCUACGACCUUGGUAGAAGAUAAAAACGACGUUGGUCGUCGAUGGCCCCACUUUUGCAGCUCCAUGCCACGAUGAUGGUGUAUAUC
rnacentral:rRNA from 1 species